CCCCACACUGGUACUGAGACACGGACCAGACUCCUACGGGAGGCAGCAGUAAGGAAUAUUGCGCAAUAGGCGCAAGCCUGACCCAGCCAUGCCGCGUGCAUGAUGACGGCCCUAUGGGUUGUAAACUGCUUUUGUAUGGGAAAAAACUCCCGCACGUGUGCGGGACUGAUUGUACCAUACGAAUAAGCAUCGGCUAACUCCGUGCCAGCAGCCGCGGUAAUACGGAGGAUGCAAGCGUUAUCCGGAUUUAUUGGGUUUAAAGGGUGCGCAGGCGGAUUAGUAAGUCAGUGGUGAAAGCUCCCGGCUCAACCGGGAAAAUGCCAUUGAUACUGUUAAUCUUGAGUACAGUUGAGGUUGGCGGAAUGUAUCAUGUAGCGGCGAAAUGCAUAGAUAUGAUACAGAACACCGAUAGCGAAGGCAGCUUACCAAACUGUAACCGACGCUCAUGCACGAAAGCGUGGGGAGCAAACAGGAUUAGAUACCCUGGUAGUCCACGCUGUAAACUAUGAUCACUCGCUGUUGGCGAUACACUGUCAGCGGCUUAGCGAAAGUGUUAAGUGAUCCACCUGGGGAGUACGAUCGCAAGGUCGAAACUCAAAGGAAUUGACGGGGGCCCGCACAAGCGGAGGAGCAUAUGGUUUAAUUCGAUGAUACGCGAGGAACCUUACCUGGGCUUAAAUGCAGAACGACCUCCCGAGAAAUCGGGACUUCCUUCGGGACGGACUGCAAGGUGCUGCAUGGUUGUCGUCAGCUCGUGCCGUGAGGUGUCGGGUUAAGUCCCAUAACGAGCGCAACCCUUAUCCUUAGUUGCCAACAGGUAAUGCUGGGAACUCUAAGGAAACUGCCUACGCAAGUAGUGAGGAAGGUGGGGAUGACGUCAAAUCAGCACGGCCCUUAUGUCCAGGGCUACACACGUGCUACAAUGGUCGGUACAGAGGGCAGCUACCUGGCAACAGGAUGCUAAUCUCGAAAGCCGAUCUCAGUUCGGAUUGGAGUCUGCAACUCGACUCCAUGAAGUUGGAUUCGCUAGUAAUCGCGCAUCAGCCAUGGCACGGUGAAUACGUUCCCCGGACAUUGUACACACCGCCCGUCAAGCCAUGGAAGCUGGGAGUACCUGAAGUCUGUUACCGCAAGGAGCGGCCUAGGGUAAACCAGUAACUGGGGCUAAGUC
rnacentral:rRNA from 1 species